UUACUUGUUAUGAUAAAAUACGUUCCUGACUCAAAAGUUUGUAGGUCCGGAGACCACAGUGCACAGGUGUAUGAAGGGAAAAGUGCUUGCGCACAUCUCUAAUGAUCCUUCCGCAGGUUCACCUACGGAAA
rnacentral:misc_RNA from 1 species